rnacentral:rRNA from 1 species
UACGUAGGGUGCGAGCGUUGUCCGGAUUUAUUGGGCGUAAAGAGCUCGUAGGCGGUUUGUCGCGUCGGCCGUGAAAUCUCCACGCUUAACGUGGAGCGUGCGGUCGAUACGGGCAGACUUGAGUUCGGUAGGGGAGACUGGAAUUCCUGGUGUAGCGGUGAAAUGCGCAGAUAUCAGGAGGAACACCGGUGGCGAAGGCGGGCCUCUGGGCCGAUACUGACGCUGAGGAGCGAAAGCGUGGGGAGCGAACAGG